GUUGCACAGUGGCUCAGAGAGUAGACUUGGAGCCAGGCUGCCCGGUUUGUAGCCCUGCUUGACCUGUGUGAUCUGAGAAUAAUCUUGUUUAAUCUCCACAAGUUUGAGGACUAAACUGGGUGCCAGAGAGAAUUAAGUAACUUGUCAAGGUUGCAUCAGUAACAGGGGAGCAGGGAAGAGAUUCAAGCUCAGGGAGCCUGGUUGGACUUCAGGCCCCUGUGAGGCUGACUCUGUAGUCCUGGAGAAACUCAACAGCCGGGAACUUAGGACCAUUUGUGUGUGGC